rnacentral:rRNA from 1 species
CAGCCGCCGCGGUAAUACGGAGGGCGCGAGCGUUACCCGGAUUUACUGGGCGUAAAGGGCGUGUAGGCGGCCUGGGGCGUCCCAUGUGAAAGGCCACGGCUCAACCGUGGAGGAGCGUGGGAUACGCUCAGGCUAGAGGGUGGGAGAGGGUGGUGGAAUUCCCGGAGUAGCGGUGAAAUGCGCAGAUACCGGGAGGAACGCCGAUGGCGAAGGCAGCCACCUGGUCCACUUCUGACGCUGAGGCGCGAAAGCGUGGGGAGCAAACCGGAUUAGAUACCCCCGUAGUCCCUGUCUCUUAUAU